GUGUCUUCGAGUCGUUGAUUUCACACUGCCGAGAAAAGCCUCUAGAUAGAAAAUAGGUGCCCGUACCGCAAACCGACACAGGUAGUCAAGAUGAGAAUUCUAAGGUGAGCGAGCGAACUCUCGUUAAGGAACUCGGCAAAAUGACCCCGUAACUUCGGGAGAAGGGGUGCUCUUUAGGGUUAACGCCCAGAAGAGCCGCAGUGAAUAGGCCCAAGCGACUGUUUAUCAAAAACACAGGUCUCUGCUAAACCGUAAGGUGAUGUAUAGGGGCUGACGCCUGCCCGGUGCUGGAAGGUUAAGAGGAGUGGUUAGCUUCUGCGAAGCUACGAAUCGAAGCCCCAGUAAACGGCGGCCGUAACUAUAACGGUCCUAAGGUAGCGAAAUUCCUUGUCGGGUAAGUUCCGACCCGCACGAAAGGCGUAACGAUUUGGGCACUGUCUCAACGAGAGACUCGGUGAAAUCAUAGUACCUGUGAAGAUGCAGGUUACCCGCGACAGGACGGAAAGACCCCGUGGAGCUUUACUGUAGCCUGAUAUUGAAAUUCGGCACAGCUUGUACAGGAUAGGUAGGAGCCUUUGAAACGUGAGCGCUAGCUUACGUGGAGGCGCUGGUGGGAUACUACCCUAGCUGUGUUGGCUUUCUAACCCGCACCACUUAUCGUGGUGGGAGACAGUGUCAGGCGGGCAGUUUGACUGGGGCGGUCGCCUCCUAAAAGGUAACGGAGGCGCUCAAAGGUUCCCUCAGAAUGGUUGGAAAUCAUUCAUAGAGUGUAAAGGCAUAAGGGAGCUUGACUGCGAGACCUACAAGUCGAGCAGGGUCGAAAGACGGACUUAGUGAUCCGGUGGUUCCGCAUGGAAGGGCCAUCGCUCAACGGAUAAAAGCUACCCCGGGGAUAACAGGCUUAUCUCCCCCAAGAGUUCACAUCGACGGGGAGGUUUGGCACCUCGAUGUCGGCUCAUCGCAUCCUGGGGCUGUAGUCGGUCCCAAGGGUUGGGCUGUUCGCCCAUUAAAGCGGUACGCGAGCUGGGUUCAGAACGUCGUGAGACAGUUCGGUCCCUAUCCGUCGUGGGCGUAGGAAAUUUGAGAGGAGCUGUCCUUAGUACGAGAGGACCGGGAUGGACAUACCUCUGGUGUACCAGUUGUCGUGCCAACGGCAUAGCUGGGUAGCUAUGUGUGGACGGGAUAAGUGCUGAAAGCAUCUAAGCAUGAAGCCCCCCUCAAGAUGAGAUUUCCCAACUUCGGUUAUAAGAUCCCUCAAAGAUGAUGAG
rnacentral:rRNA from 1 species